rnacentral:misc_RNA from 1 species
GAUGAAGAACGUAGCGAAAUGCGAUAAGUAAUGUGAAUUGCAGAAUUCAGUGAAUCAUCGAAUCUUUGAACGCACAUUGCGCCCGCCAGUAUUCUGGCGGGCAUGCCUGUUCGAGCGUCAUUUCAACCAUCAAGCCCCAGGCAUGUGUUGGGGACCUGCGGCUGCCGCAGGCCCUGAAAACCAGUGGCGGGCUCGCUGUCACACCGGGCGUAGUAGAUUUUAUCUCGCUCAGGGCGUGCUGCGGGUUCCGGCCGUUAAAAAGCCUUUUUUACCCAAGGUUGACCUCGGAUCAGGUAGGAAGACCCGCUGAACUUAAGCAUAUCAAUAAGCGGAGGA